GCUGGGCUCAAAAUGCAGAGAACUCAAAGAUAUUCAUUUCGGCCAGUGUUACAAGAUCUCAGAUGAAGGCAUGAUCGUCAUAGCUAAGGGCUGUCUGAAAUUACAAAGGAUAUACAUGCAGGAAAACAAAUUAGUGACAGAUCAGUCAGUGAAAGCAUUUGCUGAACACUGUCCUGAGCUUCAAUAUGUAGGCUUCAUGGGUUGUUCAGUCACUUCUAAAGGAGUCAUUCACCUAACCAAGGUAGGUACUAUGGCUGCUUUUCCUUGGUAUUUUUGAGUAUCAUACAGGUGAUGAGCCCUAAAUUGUUUAAUUUACUUGAAUAAGGGACAGUCAGACCAUUAUAGAAGCCUACUAAUGUUUGAUAAAAGUUAAAAUGAGUUGAAGAAAGCAAUACCAAACUUAUCCUUUCUGAAAUGGAAUACUCAUUUAAACAAGAAGCUUUUUGCUUUUUCAUUGCUAAUGGCUAUGAAAUAUAUAUCAAAGAAAUAUAUAUGAAAAGAAUCAUUUAAAUGUUAAUAUAUUGUGCUUAGAAGAUAUUUGGUUGAAUUUUAAGUGCUCAUAUAUCACUAGAUCUUAUGAGUAUUUGGCUUUAAAAAGUGAAUAUGGUCAGUGCAUAUUAUCAAGCUGAAUAUGUAAGGUGAAAAGAGAGGUGAAUAUAUGACAAAAAUUUACAUUGUGGCUCAGAGAGUUCAAUAAUAUAACAAUUAUAUGAAAUUUCAUAUUUUUAGAAAUGAUCAAACUGCCAGUUCUUUAGUAAUCUCUCACUGAUGUGUCAUCUCUACUGCGAUGUGUCAUCUCUACUGCUUUCCAGAGCUUUAAAAUAAUUAAAAGCCAAUUCUUACAUUUGUGUAAUGGAAAAGCUGGCUACUAUAAAAUUUACCUAUGUGUUAUCUGAAAUUUGUUACUGUAUAAAUUUCAGUUCUAUCCUAUAGUACUUAGGAAAAUGAAUGUGAUUCUUGCCUUUUCCGACUUAUUAUAGCUGAGCAACCUUUUCCUUCAACCUUCCUUCAUUUCACAACUAUUAGAAAGUUGCUGUAUUGGCAACACAAUGAUGAAAAAAACCAGGUAAGAUCCCAGGUCUCUUUCAGUUUGAUGUCUUCAGAUCUCUUUGAGCUUACAGUUUAAUGGGAAAUAAUGUCUUUCUUUACUCCCUAGGAGAAGAGCAAAUGUUUAUGAGUUACCUAGGACUAUGGUAGGAUCAUACAGUGAAUAGGACCCUGGGCGCCAUUAUAACCUCAGAUUGGAUUAUUGGGUCUAUCACUUAGCUAAGUGGGAAAAUUAUUUUUUAGGGUAUUAAAUAAGGUAAUAUAUAUAAGGUACUUGAUUCAGAAUAGAGACCACAGUAAAUGCUAAGUAAAUUUUAGCUAUUAAUAUUAAAACAGAUGCGGGCCAGGCACAAUGGAUCACUCCUGUAAUCCCAGCACUUUGGGAGGCCGAGGCAGGUGAAUCACUUGAGGCCAGGAGUCUGAAAUCAGCCUGGCCAACGUGGUGAAACUCCAUCUCUACUAAAAGACAAAAAUUAGCUGGGCAUGGUGGUGUGGUGGCUGUAAUCCCAGCUACUUGGGAGGCUGAGAUGGGAGAAUUGCUUAAACCCGAGAGGCGGAGGUUGCAGUGAGCCGAGAUUGCGCCACUGCACUCCAGCCCGGGCGACAGAUGAGACUCUGUCUC
rnacentral:lncRNA from 10 species